AUGGCUACAGAGGGAGAAGAUGGAAGCCAAAGCAGAUGGAUCUCAGCAUCCCUAUCCACAGUACUUCCUGCUCCAGACCAGCUGACUGUUGAUUCAGUGGACAUCACAUCAGCUGCUGUUAGCUGGAGCCAGCCAGCAGAAUUGGACCAAACCCGACAUCAUUACCAGAUCUCCUAUCGUUGUUCAGGGACAGAACCACACAUCACUACCACAUCUUCACCCAGCAUCACUCUCUCUGACCUGAAACCUGCUACUGAAUACUCUGUCACUGUCUGCACUGUGCUGGAAAAGGGAAAGCAAAGUCAACUGGUGUUAACGACCCUCACCACAGGUAACUAACUACCCUACUUAAGUAUUAGUUCUGGUUAUUAAAAUGACUAUAUGUGAAUUCCCCAGACCUCAAAAUGCAGUUUGGUGCUGAAAACAAUGAAUGUUUAUAAUAUCUGAGUUCAUGCUUUAUUCCAUUUCUGUGAGUCAUCAGUGGUGGUGUCAGAGUCUUUCAAGAACAGUGGGUUUGGAGUCAGGUGCAG
rnacentral:lncRNA from 13 species